UACGUAGGGGGCUAGCGUUGUCCGGAUUUAUUGGGCGUAAAGAGCUCGUAGGCGGUUUGUCGCGUCUGCUGUGAAAGACCGGGGCUCAACUCCGGUUCUGCAGUGGGUACGGGCAGACUAGAGUGCAGUAGGGGAGACUGGAAUUCCUGGUGUAGCGGUGAAAUGCGCAGAUAUCAGGAGGAACACCAAUUGCGAAGGCAGCUCGCUGGGACGUAACUGACGCUGAGACGCGAAAGCGUGGGGAGCAAACAGG
rnacentral:rRNA from 1 species